rnacentral:rRNA from 1 species
CCCUUAGAUGUCCUGGGCCGCACGCGCGCUACACUGAUGCAUGCAACGAGUUUCACUUUUCCUGGGUCGAGAGGCCCGGGUAAUCUGUUGAACGUGCAUCGUGAUAGGGAUAGAUCAUUGCAAUUAUUGAUCUUGAACGAGGAAUUCCUAGUAAGCGCGAGUCAUCAGCUCGCGUUGAUUACGUCCCUGCCCUUUGUACACACCGCCCGUCGCUACUACCGAUUGAAUGGUUUAGUGAGGACUCCUGAUUGGCGCCGCCGCCCCGGCAACGGAGCAGCGGACUGCCGAAAAGUUGUUCAAACUUGAUCAUUUAGAGGAAGUAAAAGUCGUAACA